AGAUGUCAUUGGAGAAGCAGGGAUUGAGAACCUUGGGGCUGGUAGCAAGCCCCCUGGGCCACUCGUCCCCUGCUUUUUACAUGGAACCACACAUCUUCUGCAGAAAGGAGACAGAGACCUCCAAGGUGGCAGAGAAGAGUAGUAGCCACAGUGUGUGAGUGUCCUGUGGCCCUGAAACAAAGGACCACAAGCAGGGUGGCAUAAAGCAACAGGAGUCAUUCCCAGAGAGGCCAAAAGUCUGCAGUCGGGGUGUUGAUGGGGUGUCAGAUACAGACCCCCAGGGGCCAUGCUCCCUCCAGAGGCUCCAGGGGAGGGUCCCUCCUGCCUCUCCUGGAUCCUGGGGGCUCCAGGAAUCCUCGGCUUGUGGCUGCUUUGGUUGGUCCCUGCCUCUGUCCUCACCUGGCUUCCCCUGUCUGUGUGUCCUCUUCUGUCACUUAUAAGGUCACUGUCCCAGGAUUUAGGGCCACCUUAGUCCAGUCUCAAGACUCUUAACUUACAUGCGCAAAGAUCCUUUUUCCAAAUGAAGUCACUUUCCCAGGUUUCAGGGGUUAGGACAUGGACAUUUCAUUUUGAGGGGUCGUCACCAACCAUCAGUAGCCAUUCAAAGGCCCCAGCUGCACUGAGAUAGUGGAAGUUGUGGAAGAAACUGUCCCAUCUCACUUGCCUGGAAAGCAAACCUGGAGUGCAGGGGUGGGGAGGAGAGGGUGGAAGAUGUGUUUGCAGGUAUGGGCUCGGCGGCGGCCAUAAAGGUCCAGAUGCCGUGUGUCUAAACAGGGAGAAGCUAAAGCCCGCCCGUGGCUGGUGUCCCACACAGCGUGUGGGGCUGAGGGGCGGGUGCACGGUGUCGGCGGCCAGAACUGUAGUUUCUCUGGUUCGUCGCCCAACCAUAGACUGAUGCCCCCGUGUGCAUGACUGCCCACGAGUGAGUCCAGUGCUGGGCAGGGGAAGGACGCAGGGGCAGGGUUGAGGGACGGGCACCCCCAGGGCUAGUGCUGAGGUUGGCGUACGUGAUGGCACAGCCGCCCGGGUUCCCCGUUGUCAGCGUGUGUGUUGGUUCCUCGGGGCCUGUCUGUUCUGCUCGCUCAGUGUUUGGCACCCCUUCCCUGGAGGGCAUGUUGUGCCUGUCAUUGCACCCAGCACCUGGUCAUGUGGCCACAACUAGCUGCAAGGAAGUCCGGAAGUGGAUUCUUUACUAACAGUGGCUAUUUGCUGAGCAGAAAAUUCGAUUACCACGAAAGAAGGAGGAAAGGAGAUGCCGGUUGACAAACCGUGUCUGCAAAGGAGGGGACUGGCAUUCUGGGGACAAGCUCAGCUUCUCCUGACUCCUCGGCUGCCUGGCAUUUGCUGGAGGAAGGGUGAUGGAUCUUGGCCCAGGAAAGCCCUUGGUCUUCACACUGACCUGGGUCCUUGGGCAUAGCAGCCGUGGGCCGUCACCGGCUGAGCCUUCUCCUUGUGCACCAGCUGGCACCCCAGCAUGGCAGGGGUCCAACUCUGUCCCCUGAGAUGCUGACCCACUUCCAGCGCAGAGCUGAGGGGAACUGCGCUGACGGAUCACUUAGAUGCCGCCCACCACCUGUGUGCUAUUGCUUGUUGAGAAGCUGCAGAAGCUUCCAGCCGACAGCCCUCUGCAGAGUGGGGCCAGACGCCCCCUAGAGCAGCUGGCCCAUGGCCAUCAGGGACCCGCAGGCAGCUCCAGCACCACUCUUCUCCGGGAUGUUAUGCAGCCAGCAAGCUCAGUGAGGUCACUGUCUGCAGGAUGACGAGGCUGCCUCCGCUCCCUGGCAAUGUCCCGCUUGCCUUGUUUGUUUCAGAUCCUCUUGCCAGACCCCAAAACCAAGCACCCACCCCAUCCCGUUGUCUUUGAGGCUCACUUCAUUUUCACAAUAGAAAAUGAAAUUGCCCUUUGUGGGAGAUGUAGCUCUUCCUUUGUCUCCCUCCUCCAUCUCACCCUCUUCAUUCAUUUAUUCAGCAAAUAAUAAGGAAGAGACAUUCACUGAGUCCCUGCAAGGGGCCAGGCCCUGUGCCAGAACUUGCCAGACAUCUUCUCCGUGGCCAGUCGGCAUGUGAUGUCAUGGCUAGGCAGACACAGAGGCAACAAUACCACGCAUAACUGUUGUGUUAAACGUAGCAUGGAUUGUCCACAAAGAAUAUGAAAGUGGGUCUAGCCUCACUAGGACUGUUGGGGAAGUGCGCAUUAAAACAUCCAGUGAGCCCCACCUCUGGGUGUAUUUCUGAAAGAACCGAUGAUAAUGGUUUGAAGAGAUAUUUGCACAUCCGUGCCUAUGGCAGCACCAAUCACAGCAGGCAGGAGGUAGAAGCAGAUCCAGUGUUCAUUAGUGGAUGAGUGGAUGAACAGAUAUGGUCCAUCAUCCGAUGUAGUAUUCAGCUGUUAAAGGAAAAAGAGCAACAUGGACGAAUCUUGAGGGCAUUAUGCUAAAAUGAAGUCAGCCAGUCACACAAGACAAAUACUGUAUGAUUUCACUUAUACAAGGUACCUAGAGUAGCCAGAUUCAUGGAGAUGGAUAGUACCAUGGUGGGUGCUGGAGGCUCGGGCAGGGGAGAUGGGAGUUCAAUGGGCUUUCAGUUUGGGAAGAUGAAUAAGUUUAAGAAUAUCUGUUUCACAACAAUGGGAACGUACUUAACACUCCUGAACUGUACACUUAAAAAUGGCCAAGAUGAUAACUUUCAUGUUAUGUGGCUUUUUCUUUGGUGGGGGGAUUCCCUGGUGGCUCAGACGGUAAAGAAUCUGCCUGCACAAUUUUAAAAAAAGAAAACAAGAAAACAUUUUUUACCCAUUGAAUUAUAUUAAUGGUGGGAGUGUCAAUCAGUAAACUGUCUAGGAAAUCAUCUAGAAAUGUCCUUAAUAUCCUAAAUGCACACAUCCUUGGAUGCCCCAGUGUCUCACUUGAAAAUCUCCAGAAACAAAGGAGGUGGCUGGUUGGUGUAAAUGAGCUCCACAGAGUCCCUCAGCCCUGUGCCCAGCACCCCACAGCACUCAGAUGUAGCUGUGGUUACAACCAUCAUAGCAUUGUAACAGUGACCCCUGCAGUCAGGGGUCUCCAGGGCAAUAGAACCAAUAGAGUAAGUGUAAUGUAUAGGAGAGAUACAUUGUACGUAUGAGGUGUAUGAGGAGAGUCACUUCAGGGAACUGGCUUUUUGCAGGAAUGCCAUUGCAGAGGCUGGCGUCUCUGAAACCUGCAGCGCAGGCAGGCAACUCAGGCAGACUUUCUUCCUCUCCAGGAAAACUCGGGUUUGCUCUUAAGACCUUCACCUGAUUGGAUGAGGCCCACCCACCCGAUCCAGGGUCACCUCCUUUACUUAAAGCCAGCUGACUGUCGAUUCUGUCCACACCUCCUAGAUACCUUUGGAGCAACAGCUGGAUGAGUGUCUCAUUGAAUAACUGGGCACGACAGCCUGGCCAAGUCCACAUCAACCAGACCAUUGCAGGGGCUCACAUUGCCAGGCUGGGCAGUGAACAGCUCUGUCAGUGUCUUCUGUGGCUCCACUGGCUCAGCCCAUCCAGGCAGAAUUAUCUCAAGGGAUUUGCUGUAACACUGAGGUUUUAGCCACUCAUCCUCCAUGUCUGAGUUUGUCAGUUCGACCAGAGAAAAUCCGAGUCUUCACCAUUUGCUGGCCUUUCUGCCUCCAGGCACGUGGACACAUGGACGGCCUGCCCAUUAGAGGUGGACCAUGCCCAUGGGUUGAUGGUGGGCCAGGAAGCGAGGACAGCCAUAGCUGUGAUUCCUGAGCACUUACUAGGCACCAGGAGGCUUUAACCACAUUACCAGUAUUAACUUCUAUCAUCAUACAGCUGGAUACUGAUUGUGCACGCGUGCUCAGUAGCUCAGUCUAUCCAACUCUGUGCGAC
ensembl:lncRNA